AUGUUCUGGUUGUGUUAUGUUGCCAUAUGUGCAGGUCGAGGAGGACCAAUCCUAGACAGCCACGUGGCUACAUUUCUCCCAAGCAAAGGAAACGGGAAGUUCCUUAAGAAAUUUGUUGGCCCUGUGAAUGUGUGGGUGGCAAGGAAGGAGGAUAAGCUCAAAGUGAAGGACGAGUACAUCAAUUAUAUGGAUAGGUCUGCCUAUAUGUUCCUGCUGUUUCCAUCCACUCUCCUCUUACUGAGAUGGUGGGUGUGGGAUGGGUGCCUUCCAGCAUUGACAGUUCAGGUGCACCAGGCUUGGUUAUUAUUCCUCUACACAAGUUUUGCUUUGCAGGAGAAUGUGUUGCUUGUAAAUGGAAGAGAUAUCCGUCCUUGGUGGAUAUACCAUCACUAUUUAGCAAUGCUAAUGGCUCUUGUUAGCCUUACAUGGGAGAUAAAGGGAUAGCCUGAUUGCUCGAGUAAGCAGAGUGGGGUACAACUUUUCUUGCGUUGGGCAAUCAUGCAAGGAAUUGCAAUGCAUCUACAUAAUAGGUACCAGCGUCAAAGAUUACGCACCCAAAUUGCUCUGGGAAAGGUGAGGCCUUCCUUUGAUUUAACAAGUUCAGGUUGCUUUUCAUCCUGUGAAGAUUCGUCCUUCCCUGACAUUCUUCAGUUUCCGGUGUUUAUAGUUGUUGAGGAAAAUUUUGUUACUCACUUUUUCAGGUAUGAUCUUUUGAUAGUAGAUUUCAUUUAG
rnacentral:rRNA from 1 species